rnacentral:rRNA from 1 species
GAGUUUGAUCCUGGCUCAGAACGAACGCUGGCGGCAGGCCUAACACAUGCAAGUCGAACGAAGUCUUCGGACUUAGUGGCAGACGGGUGAGUAACGCGUGGGAACCUACCUGGAGGUUCGGAAUAACUCGGGGAAACUCGGGCUAAUACCGGAUACGCCCUUACGGGGAAAGAUUUAUCGCCUUUAGAUGGGCCCGCGUUGGAUUAGCUUGUUGGUGAGGUAAAAGCUCACCAAGGCGACGAUCCAUAGCUGGUCUGAGAGGAUGAUCAGCCACACUGGGACUGAGACACGGCCCAGACUCCUACGGGAGGCAGCAGUGAGGAAUAUUCGGCAAUGGGCGCAAGCCUGACCGAGCCAUGCCGCGUGAGUGAAGAAGGCCCUAGGGUUGUAAAGCUCUUUCACCGAUGAAGAUAAUGACGGUAGUCGGAGAAGAAGCCCCGGCUAACUUCGUGCCAGCAGCCGCGGUAAUACGAAGGGGGCUAGCGUUGUUCG